rnacentral:rRNA from 1 species
GUGGGGAAUCUUCCGCAAUGGACGAAAGUCUGACGGAGCAACGCCGCGUGAGUGAAGAAGGUUUUCGGAUCGUAAAGCUCUUUCGUUAGGGACGAACGUGCUCUUUGUGAAUAAUGAGGAGUAAUGACGGUACCUAAAUAAGAAGCCACGGCUAACUACGUGCCAGCAGCCGCGGUAAUACGUAGGUGGCAAGCGUUGUCCGGAAUUAUUGGGCGUAAAGCGCGCGCAGGCGGGAUAUCAAGUCUGUCUUAAAAGUGCGAGGCUCAACCUCGUGAGGGGACAGAAACUGGUAUUCUUGAGUGUCGGAGAGGAAAGUGGAAUUCCAAGUGUAGCGGUGAAAUGCGUAGAGAUUUGGAAGAACACCAGUGGCGAAGGCGACUUUCUGGACGAUGUCUGACGCUGAGGUGCGAAAGCUAGGGGAGCGAACGGGAUUAGAAACCCUUGUAGUCC